rnacentral:misc_RNA from 1 species
UUUCCGUAGGUGAACCUGCGGAAGGAUCAUUAAAUAAAUAAAAUGAGACCAAGGGCACGCUAUGAAUCUAUCUCUGGCUGAACUUGAUCACUUUUUUUUACUGUUAACUGUUAAAACAACUGACGUUUGAGGAAUGCUCCCUUGGCUGUAAUAUAGACAAGCCAGUGUUUGAGAUGUUAACCGAGUCAGGCCACGCUGGGGCGUGCUGUCUAUAAAAAUUUAUAAACUAUUGACCAGUAUUAAAAAAACGUUUACCUUUCUGAGCCUUAUGCUUGGAAAAAAACAACUUUUAACAACGGAUCUCUAGGCUCUC